ACUAGUUGGGGGAAAAAGACCUGCUGAGCUAAAAGUCUAGUUCACUACAGGCUCCAAUUCCAUUUCAUACUUAUUUUUAAAAAGAGAAGAAAGCAAAAAAGAAGAAAGCAAGUCUAGUGCUGAAUGUGACAAACAGCCUUUUGUUUACAUGACAAAAACCAGUGGGGGGGAAAAAGAGCUGUAGGGCCAACAAGCUUUAGCCAACAACAGCUUCAGAUCCUAUAAAUUAUUUUUUUUUUUUUUUAAAGACUUGAGAAAGUCUACCAGUCUAGCGUGGAACAUGACAAAUGGGUUUUAUUUACACCAGGCAAACUAGUUGGGAAAGCCCUGCAGGGCCAAGAGGUUUAGCUUAUUUCAAGAUCCCACACACCCAGCAGGAGUUGGCAGCUUGCCCAGUUGUGGGCAACAACAUCUUAGUGAUGAGGUGUACAUGUAUUCAACAUAUGGAUCAUAUCCUACAAAACUGCCCACACCUGGAAGAGAACCAUCAGAAAGUUUGGACACAAGACACACCCCUAAAUAUCAAACUCUGGGGACUUCUUGAUGACCUCCGGAAGACGCCACAUUUCAUUAUCAUAUCCGGAUUAUUGAUCUAAUACAGCCAAAUCUUGAUUGAACGCAGAAGAAGAACAACAUAUGGAUAAUUUAAAUACACAAAAAAGUUUUUCCUAGAUGUAGCACGACUAUUAAUUUUGUAAUUUUUAUAGGCAUGGUAUAGGUACAUGUGUUCAGGUUGUGGAAAUAGUUUUAAAAUGUAUAUUGUUAAAUCUCAAUUGUCUAUAUACAGUGUAAGUGGAUUCUUAGUUUUAGUAACAGAACUGAAAUCAUCCAUCUUAAACAUACUGUAUGGUACUUUAUUUCUGUUUUAUUUAUAGAAGUUUUAGGUACAUGUGCAUGUAUUCAUUUUAUGGAAUUGCAGUUUUAAAACAUAUUCUGAACUGAAAUCAUCCAUACUGGAUGGUGGAAUUAUACCCAACAUCUGGUGUGUGGUGAAAAACCCCACACCUAGCAUGUACCAUAUCCUGUCUGUGAUAAAGUGUAUACACUACU